AACGAACGCUGGCGGCAUGCCUAACACAUGCAAGUCGAACGAGACCUUCGGGUCUAGUGGCGCACGGGUGCGUAACGCGUGGGAAUCUGCCCUUCGGUUGGGAAUAACUGAGAGAAAUUACAGCUAAUACCUUAUAAUGUCUUCGGACCAAAGAUUUAUCGCCGAGGGAUGAGCCCGCGUAGGAUUAGGUAGUUGGUGGGGUAAUGGCCUACCAAGCCGACGAUCCUUAGCUGGUCUGAGAGGAUGAUCAGCCACACUGGGACUGAGACACGGCCCAGACUCCUACGGGAGGCAGCAGUGGGGAAUAUUGGACAAUGGGCGAAAGCCUGAUCCAGCAAUGCCGCGUGAGUGAUGAAGGCCUUAGGGUUGUAAAGCUCUUUUACCCGGGAUGAUAAUGACAGUACCGGGAGAAUAAGCGCCGGCUAACUCCGUG
rnacentral:rRNA from 1 species